rnacentral:rRNA from 1 species
GUGAGGAAUUUUCCGCAAUGGGCGAAAGCCUGACGGAGCAAUGCCGCGUGAAGGAUGAAGGCCUAUGGGUUGUAAACUUCUUUUCUCAGAAAAGAAUUAUGACGGUAUCUGAGGAAUAAGCAUCGGCUAACUCUGUGCCAGCAGCCGCGGUAAGACAGAGGAUGCAAGCGUUAUCCGGAAUGAUUGGUCGUAAAGCGUCUGUAGGUUGUUUAAAAAGUAUUCUGUCAAAGAUUAGGGCUUAACCCUAGAUAGGCAGAAUAAACUUUUAAGCUAGAGUUUGGUAGAGGCAGAGGGAAUUCCCGGUGGAGCGGUGAAAUGCGUAGAUAUCGGGAGGAACACCAAAGGCGAAGGCACUCUGCUGGGCCAAUACUAACACUGAGAGACGAAAGCGAGGGGAGCAAAUGGGAUUAGAAACCCCAGUAGUCC